AGACGUGUAGCUCAGUCAGGUAGAGCGGCGGAGUAGCGCCCGCGAGCGCCGGUUCGAAUCCGGCCACGUCUU
rnacentral:tRNA from 1 species